CACGGACCAAGGAGUCUAACAUAUGUGCGAGUUCACGGGUGUUAAACCUGAAUGCGCAAUGAAAGUGACUGCUGGGAUUUUUGCACCAGCAACCGACCAAUCAAUUGUGAGAGGUUUGAGUAUGAGCAUAUCUGUUAGGACCCGAAAGAUGGUGAACUAUGCCUGAGAAGGGUGAAGUCAGGGGAAACCCUGAUGGAGGCUCGUAGCGGUACUGACGUGCAAAUCGUUCGUCAAACUUGGGUAUAGGGGCGAAAG
rnacentral:rRNA from 1 species